rnacentral:rRNA from 1 species
UACGUAGGGACCAAGCGUUGUUCGGAUUUACUGGGCGUAAAGGGCGCGUAGGCGGAGCGGUAAGUCACUUGUGAAAUCUCUGAGCUUAACUCAGAACGGCCAAGUGAUACUGCAGUGCUAGAGUGUGGAAGGGGCAAUCGGAAUUCUUGGUGUAGCGGUGAAAUGCGUAGAUAUCAAGAGGAACACCUGAGGUGAAGACGGGUUGCUGGGCCAGCACUGACGCUGAUGCGCGAAAGCCAGGGGAGCAAACGGG